rnacentral:sRNA from 2 species
AGAUAAAAAUAGCUUAAUCAUUUUGAGCGGGGGAACCAUUUUUUGGGGUGAAUCUAUUCAUGUAGAAGGAGACUCUCAACUCCUAAUCCGUCAGCUAACCUCGUAAGCGUUAUUGAGAGUGGAU